GCCGGGCACAGUGGUGCAUGCCUGUAAUCUCAGCAGCUCGGGAGACUGAGGCAGGAGGAUCACAAGUUCAAAGCCAACCUCAGCAAUUUAGCAAGGCCCUAAGCAACUUAGUAAGACCCUGUCUCUA
rnacentral:sRNA from 1 species